rnacentral:rRNA from 1 species
UACGUAGGGGGCAAGCGUUGUCCGGAUUUAUUGGGCGUAAAGAGCGUGUAGGCGGCCAUACAGGUCAGCUGUGAAACUCGAGGCUCAACCUCGAGACGUCGGUUGAAACCGUAUGGCUAGAGUCCGGAAGAGGAGAGUGGAAUUCCCGGUGUAGCGGUGAAAUGCGCAGAUAUCGGGAAGAACACCCGUGGCGAAGGCGGCUCUCUGGGACGGUACUGACGCUGAGACGCGAAAGCGUGGGAGCGAACGAGG